CGCGCUCCGGCGGGGUUUCCCGGCCGCCCCCUGCCUGGGCGGGUUGUUGCCGGAGCGACGGUAGCCAGGGCCGGGAUGCCGGGAGCGUGAGCGGGUGGCGGUCCUCCCUGCCCCAGCCCCCACGUGGGUGGCCCAGGAGGCCUCCAUCCGUGAACGCCUGGAACAGGACGGGAAGGCGAGCUUUCCCGCGAAACCCCCUCCUGUGCCUGUCCGCUGCUGCUGCGCGGGGCGCGUUCACCUCGUGGGAUCACUCAAAUGCAGAUUGGUGUCACAAGUGGAAUCUGAAUUAGCACUUCCAGUGACCCCCGGGAGCAUCGAGUGACCAAGAGAGGUACCUGCAGGAUCCAUUUCAUCCAUUGCUCUCUUACAGCAACUGGGGUUCAUAGCUGGCCGGUACAGAGAUGGAAUCCUGGACCUUGGUGUCAUCAGCACCUCAAUCUGAGUAACCGGCUAGCCCUGGAGAGGACUGCAAGAGACGUGCACUUGCCCCACAUGCCACCCCUCCAAGGAGAAGCACUCUUACCCUUGGGUUAGGAGAGGGGCUUCAAGGAGGCUAGUCCAGAGACCAUCAGAAGCCAGUGGACAUUGUGCCAGGGUCUCUGAGCCUGAGCACGAGGCGCAAGCUGCUGCUGCAGAGGGACGGGCCUGCAUUCCAGGUGUCUGUCGGGGAAAGAAUGUGCGAGUGAUUCCCCUGGGCCAGGUGAGAGGGAGUCUACAUGGGUUCAUUUUAAAUCCCACCCAGAAGAGCUUGCGCAGGGGCAAACGAGCCUCAACAGAGAGAAGCUGGAGCUUAUCACUGGAUUCUUAGAGGGCUGAGGAAGGAGUAGGGGGCAAGGGAGAAUGGAGAGAUAUUUGCUCUCACCAAAGAACUGAGGCUGAUAGACACCCAGUGACUGAGGAUGGGGGUUCCUCAGCUCUCCAAAGUACCCAGCAUCAGAGAGCCAGCUGUAAACAUCCAACAGACCUGAUGCCAGCUCACCACAGCAGUACCCAAAUGAGAACUUUCCUGUUCCAUUGUCCUCUCUUCCCUUCCUGUGCUCCAGCACCAAGGGGUCAGAUCCCCCAUGGCAGGAGUCCACCUGUGCCCUGAUCGGUCUCCACCCUGCCUGAGAAGCCUCUCAUCUCUUCUUCCUUCUCACUGGGUCUUCAAAGCCUUGUGGAAACCCUCCUUCCUUGGCAAGUGGAGGGGGAUCUGAACCCUUGCCCUUGGUGUUAUAACACCAUGCUCUAACCAACUGAGCUGACCAGCCAGCCCACACAAGCACUUUCUAAUAAAUUUCUUACCUGCUAAUCUCUAACUCAAGGUGGCUUCCCAGGAAACCCAACCUGUGGCAAAAUAACUCUUGCUGCUACUGUUGGAGGACAUCCUCUGGGAGAGCAAUGGCUCACCCUUCUACAUGCCCCACCCCAGCCAUGCUUCUGCCCAAUAUGGACAGACAAUCCACAGCAUGGCUGUAGCUAGGGCCAGUUUGGUGAAAACAUCCAAAAAUUAUUGGGAUUGAGUUUCUCAUCAGCACAGUAGCUUGGGUGCUCAGAAUCUAAAUUAAGUUGAUUUAAGGUCAAUAAACAAAUAUAAUAUUUCUUUCUGAACAAAAUAGUGAACUGAGAGUCAUAGCCAUUGCACCAGGACAGCAAAUUAUGCCACCUGCUCACUUGUAAGGAAAGGAAAUCAUUUUCCUUUGGUGGGAGCUCUCUCUCUCUUGCCUAAGUAAGCUUUCCCUCCCAGGUUGGGUAAACACUCCAGGAACACAGCCCAUCUCCCAGGGAGUAAAACCAUUCAGGCUGAAGCCCCCAGUGACUGAGAUCUUUCCACAGAACCACCUUACUAUUGGGUUUGGGGAGGACCACUUAACAUGGCACCACCCAAAGAUACUCAAAAUGGUGGUUCCUGCCCUACAGGACUUCCCUGUAAAAUAAAAAGACAAAGGAACUCAUAACUGCAACAGAACUCCGUGCCAUGGGUCCCCUCUGAAACCCUAUUUUACAUACUAAGGGAACCAAUAAUCACAAACCUAAAAAUCACCUAAUUAACAUAAGGCCUCAACAACUCCCAUUAGAUAUUUCAUUUAACUCCUCAUCAACAUAAGCUAUGGCCAAUCAGAACAACACAACUCACCACAAGGAGAAAUAUAAGCCCAAUCUCAGGGGGAGGGCAGGCUAGGUCUCAUGCCUACACCUCCCCAUGCUGCCUGUGCAAAUAAAGCCUUCCACGCCUGAUUUCUCAUCUCCGUACCAGUCUUUGCUAAUCGCCGACUUUUCACUCACUCAACGGUACAACACUCCAAAGUCUCUCAUCCUCUUUCAUCACUGUUUGGUCCGGAGAACAGGAAUGACUGAAAGGCAUGUAAUAGAAGAAUUUAAUACAGACAAUUAAGUGCUUACAAAACCACUGGAUAUGCUGGAGGAACAAAGGUCAAGGGAGCCCCCUCCAGCUCUGAGGUGGGCCAUUAAUUUCCAGAGAUUCAGGAAUUUGCUAGAACCACAGGAAGUCAUCACCCAUGAUCCCAACUGCCUGCAGCAAGAUGAGUGAUUCACAGGGGAACCAGUGAGGACCUCUGCAAACCCUCACACUGGUGAAGGUGUC